UACGUAGGUCCCAAGCGUUGUUCGGAUUCACUGGGCGUAAAGGGUGCGUAGGCGGUCGGGUAAGUCUGAUGUGAAAUCUCACAGCUUAACUGUGAAACUGCAUUGGAUACUAUCCGGCUAGAGGAAUGGAGGGGAGACUGGAAUACUUGGUGUAGCAGUGAAAUGCGUAGAUAUCAAGUGGAACACCAGUGGCGAAGGCGAGUCUCUGGACAUUUCCUGACGCUGAGGCACGAAAGCCAGGGGAGCAAACGGG
rnacentral:rRNA from 1 species